rnacentral:rRNA from 1 species
UACGGAGGGUGCGAGCGUUGUCCGGAAUCACUGGGCGUAAAGGGCGCGUAGGCGGCGCGGUAAGCGUGCGGUGAAAGUCCGGGGCUCAACCCCGGAUCGGCCGUGCGGACUGCCGGGCUUGAGCACUGUAGGGGCGGGUGGAACUCCGGGUGUAGCGGUGGAAUGCGUAGAGAUUCGGAAGAACACCGGUGGCGAAGGCGGCCCGCUGGGCAGUGGCUGACGCUGAGGCGCGACAGCGUGGGGAGCAAACAGG